rnacentral:rRNA from 1 species
UACAGAGGGUGCGAGCGUUAAUCGGAAUUACUGGGCGUAAAGCGUGCGUAGACGGCUAUCUAAGUCGGGUGUGAAAGCCCAGGGCUCAACCUGGGAAUUGCAUUCGAGACUGAAUAGCUAGGGUACGGUAGAGGGAAGCGGAAUUUCCGGUGUAGCGGUGAAAUGCGUAGAUAUCGGAAGGAACAUCAGUGGCGAAAGCGGCUUCCUGGACCAGUACCGACGUUCAGGCACGAAAGCGUGGGGAGCAAACAGG